UACGUGGGGUGCGAGCGUUAAUCGGAAUUACUGGGCGUAAAGCGUGCGCAGGCGGCGCGUUAAGACAGGUGUGAAAGCCCCGAGCUUAACUUGGGAAUUGCGCUUGUGACUGGCGUGCUGGAGUGUGGCAGAGGGAGGUGGAAUUCCACGUGUAGCAGUGAAAUGCGUAGAGAUGUGGAGGAACACCGAUGGCGAAGGCAGCCUCCUGGGCCAGAACUGACGCUCAUGCACGAAAGCGUGGGGAGCAAACAGG
rnacentral:rRNA from 1 species